GCAUGGCUUUGGAUUUAUGGUGGGUCCUACUUCAUGGACUUCCCAUAGUGUACCCCAUGCCACAGUAAUUUGCCUCCCCGAACCAUUGGCUGGUCUAGCUUGCUAUAGCUCCAGCCACUGAAGUGGGUGGCACAUGU
rnacentral:snoRNA from 1 species